CAGGGACAUGGAUGAAGCUGGAAACCAUCAUUCUCAGCAAACUAACACAGGAACAGAAAACCAAACACCGCAUGUUCUCACUUAUGAGGACAGCUCUGUGCCAGAGAAUGAGCUGGGAUCUGCCCUGACAAGUGGAGCCUCGUUUGAAAGUGUCGGUAACAGGCUCUGUGUCUGAACCAAAGUUUCCCUUGCAACCUGGUGUGGCUGCAUGAUGGAGUUUGGGCCGUGACAUAUGGUAG